GGAUCUGCUUCCUACCCGGAACCUCAUAUAGGGAUCUGCUUCCUACCCGGAACCUCAUAUAGGGAUCUGCUUAUUACCCUGAACCUGCACUAUGCAGGGACUUGGGAGAGACACACAGAACAGGGACUCCCCAAAGAGGGAGAAGGAUCUGAGGGGCUCAGCAAUACUGCACCAGCAGAGACGCCUCAAACAAGCCACGCAGUUUGUGCACAAAGACUCUGCGGAUCUUCUGCCACUGGACCAGCUGCGGAGACUGGGGACCAGUAAAGACCUGCAGCCACACAGUGUGAUCCAGAGACGCCUCAUGGGGGGCAGCCUGAGCAUUGAAAGCGAUAACCCUGUAUUUCCAACUUCCCCGUGCAACAGGGGGAGAGACGCACCCCCCAGGGUGAUGAGACGAUACAGCCAACUAAGUUGGGUGAGGAGACCCCCGGUGGCUGGAAGGAACAAGCUCUACUCAUACCCUGCAAGGGCCCCAAUUUCACAUUACAAAGUUGCAUCAGGACUUUAUGGACCUAGGAAUGAUACGGACUGGAGCCUGGAAUUUACUGUAAGUACUGGAUGUGCUGAAGGAGCUGCUGGGCUUCAGGAAGGGGACUGGGUACUAGGAAGCCCCAGGGGGGGCAAUUGCAACAGGAAGUUGCCUGAGAGGGGGCACAUCAUUGGGCCUUUCAAAACGAGGCUGCAGAGACCCUAGUGGCACAGACUGGGGGCUUUCUGGUAGGAGGUGUCUGUUGAAAUUAGAAAUUAAUUCUAACUUAGGGAAUUGCUACAAGGUGACUCUGGGACUUGGGGUGUCAUAGUCAGGUAAGUAGUGGAACUUUGGCACCCUGAGUACCCCAAGAACUGAAAUAAAGAGCUCGUUAUAUUAUAUGGAACUGGGGGUUGGAUAUUUGGGAGUCUUGAUUGUCCCAGCAAAAGUAUCUGCCUGCCUCUGUGGCAGAAUUAGGGGACUCUGUGGGCUUCACAGGGGGGUUCCUGCUGUCCCGGGGGCUGUAGGAGAUACAGUAAUAGAAGCCACAGGGAGUACCUGUAGAUAUUGGGGUGCAAACUCAACGUUAGCCCAGUGUCACAACCACCAGCGAGGUGAAUAAAGUGAUCUUUUUGUCAACAGUCUCAGGGAAUCCCUAAGUGUUAGACUGUAUUUGCUUCCUCCGGUGUUGGUAACAUCAGGCACUGGUUACUGAGGGAACAGGAGAGACGGGGAGUAAAUCCGUGGCUGUAGUGAAGGAUCACAGAGAAAACUCGAUGAGGGACGUUACUUCAUGACAGAGAAAGGAGCCUCUGGCUUUAUCCAAGCAAGAUCUGGGAUGCUUAUCCGCACUAUACCGCUUGUCUAGUUCUAUACCCACCUGAGGGUUAACACUUGUUUGGAAUGGCCGCCUACAUCGAAUUUGUGCCCCCUCCGGAAUGCCCGGUGUUCGAGCCCAGCUGGGAGGAAUUCUCUGAUCCCCUGAGUUUCAUCGGACGCAUCUGACCGAUUGCUGAAAAGACAGGGAUAUGCAAAAUCCCACCUCCCAAGGACUGGCAGCCGCCCUUUGCCUGCGAUGUCAAAAGCUUCUGCUUCACCCCUCGGGUACUGCGCCUCAACGAACUAGAGGCAAUGACCCGUGUCAAACUCGAUUUCUUGGAUCAGCUGGGAAAAUUUUGGGAGCUGCAAGGUUCCGCGCUCAGAAUUCCAGUGGUGGAUGGCAAGCUGUUGGGUGUGUAUGCACUGAGCAAGGUGGGCGUGCAGGGACAGGUGGUUCUGCAGAUAAACAACAUACGCAUUAGCAUCUUGCAGUGUCUUCUGCGCCAGGAUUAAAUGGUUUACUGUAAUUAAAUAACUGCAGGAAGUUUAUAUAAUUACACCUUUCUAAAAGAACAGAAAGGGCCUUAUUGCCCAGAGCCAUCCGUAGACUGUUACCUUCUUUCCUUUUUCACUCCAGGUGGUUUCCAGUGAGGGGGGAUUUGAGGUUGUCACUAAAGAGAAGAAAUGGUCUCAGGUGGGCAAUCGGAUGGGAUACCAGCCAGGCAAAGGCACAGGCUCUCUUCUGAAGUUGCACUAUGACCGAAUCCUCUACCCCUACGAGCUGUUCCAGUCUGGCGUCAGCCUGAUGGAAAGAAAUGCACCUAGAAUAUUCUAGAGAGAAACCUUCUGUUUCAGUUUUUAGUAAAGGUACCGGUAUAGGACCUGUUAUCCAGAAUGCUCGGGACCUGGGGCUUUCCGGAUAAGGGGUCUUUCCGUAAUUUGGCUCAU